GACGAACGCUGGCGGCGUGCCUAAUACAUGCAAGUCGAGCGGACUGAAUGGGAGCUUGCUCUUGUUCGGUCAGCGGCGGACGGGUGAGUAACACGUGGGCAACCUGCCCGCAAGACCGGGAUAACUCCGGGAAACCGGAGCUAAUACCGGAUAACACCGAAGACCGCAUGGUCUUUGGUUGAAAGGCGGCGCAAGCUGCCACUUGCGGAUGGGCCCGCGGCGCAUUAGCUAGUUGGUGAGGUAACGGCUCACCAAGGCGACGAUGCGUAGCCGGCCUGAGAGGGUGACCGGCCACACUGGGACUGAGACACGGCCCAGACUCCUACGGGAGGCAGCAGUAGGGAAUCUUCCGCAAUGGGCGAAAGCCUGACGGAGCGACGCCGAGUGAGCGAAGAAGGCCUUCGGGUCGUAAAGCUCUGUUGUGAGGGACGAAGGAGCGCCGUUUGAAGAAGGCGGCGCGGUGACGGUACCUCACGAGGAAGCCCCGGCUAACUACGUG
rnacentral:rRNA from 1 species